GUUUAUGGCCAUACCAGCCUGGCUACGCCUGAUCUCGAAAGCUAAGCAGGGUCGGGCCUGGUUAAUACUUGGAUGGGAGACCGCCUGGGAAUACCAUGUGCUGUAAGCU
ensembl:rRNA 5S_rRNA 5S ribosomal RNA